rnacentral:misc_RNA from 1 species
GAGUCAAAGUGUCAAAAUCCAGCAGAUUGUGGAACCCAGCACAAGAGUUGAAGAGAGUACUGCUUCCAUGGCGGCCGAACGUCCUCCUGUCAUCGCCUCCGCGACCACAAACGCAACCUCAGUUCUGCAGGAGAAACGGUAUCGUUCCAUAUUUGACGUCCCAGCCAACUUCUUAGACGCCUGCCGCUUACUGUCUUCCUCCGCAGGUUUAGUAUCCGCGACCUCUGAGAAAUAUGAGAAUCCCACUAUCAUCGGAACCCUAGAGGAGACCGAUGAUAGGGAAGAUAAGAGUUCUAGAAAUGGCGCCGCAAUGCUUAGAUGGACUUGUAACAUCUGCAAGGCCGAAUUCGAGUCGCUUCAGGAGCAGCGCUCCCAUUUCAAAUCCGAUAUUCAUCGAAUUAACGUUAAGCUAAGUAUUGCAGGGAAGGAUAUUGUGAACGAGGAAGAUUUAGAUGACUUAACAUCUGAUUCUUUUAGAGAUUAUGAUAUAUCAAGUAUAUCAGGAUCAGAAGAUGAAAAUGAGAAAGGAUCCUUCCCUCUCGAUGAUAUGCAAAAGGGAUCAAAUGAAAGUACCAAGCGGAAGCUGUUUAUGUGUCUUCAUACAGGAGAGAGAGUUUCACUUUGGAAGUGUAUGGUUUUGAAUGAGUUUGAAAGCGUUUCUUAUGAGAACGAGAAAGAAGUUUCUUUUGACUGUGGUGGGUAUAUGCGAUGCCUUAAAGAGAGUGAAGUGAUUGAAAGAUUGAAUUUUCUGAUUCAUGAGCCCAGGGAUAACACGUGUUUGAGGAUUUUAUUGCUUGCAAGUGGGGGACACUUCGCUGGCUGUGUCUUUGAUGGUAAUGCAGUUGUGGUUCACAAAACAUUCCACAGAUAUGUUGUAAGGGCCAAAGCUGGUAAGAAGCAGUCAUCAAAAGAUGCAAGUGGCAGGGCUGCACAUUCUGCUGGAGCUUCACUUCGACGGCAUAAUGAACUUGCUUUAAAGAAGGAUGUUCAAGAACUACUUUCUGCUUGGAAGCCUUAUUUUGAUGCUUCCACCUGUGUUUUCAUAUAUGCUCCCUCAAGCAAUCGCCAGCUCUUCUUUGAUGGAGAUAAAGCAUAUUUUAGCGAUCAGCAUUGUUUUGUUCGAAAUGUACCAUUGAAUGUUCGAAGGCCCACUUUCAAAGAAGCACGGCGCAUAUAUAACCAAUUGACACAAGUUGCCUAUGAAGUGGAUGAGAAGGACUUUCCAUCAGUCGCCAAAGAGGAUUUUGUAUCAAUUGAAACCUCCACUCCUGAUGGCAGCCUGGAUUCCAGAAAAGAGGAUUUGAAGGACUGCACUAAUUGUGGAGAAACUACUGAAGCUUCUUCAAGGCUCAAAGACUCUGAUGAUCUGUUUAUAUCAACUGAAACAGAAAGUGCGGUGAUUGGUGUAACAACACCUUUGCACAAAGCGGCACACGCUGGUGAUGCUAAUAAAGUCUUGGAACUUCUAGAACAGGGUUUAGAUCCUUGUGUUAAGGAUGAAAGGGGGCGGACCCCCUAUAUGCUGGCAACUGAGAAGGAAGUCAGGAACAAUUUCAGGCGCUUUAUGGCCUCAAAUCUUUAUAGGUGGGAUUGGCAUGCUGCUAAAGUACCUAGUGCAUUGACAAAGGAAAUGGAAGAAUCUCAAGCUGAGAAGCAGGCAGAGAAAGAUGCCAAGAGGAAAGCAAGAGCAAAAGAAUUGAAGAAACUGCGAAAAGCAAAAGAAAAGGCUCAGGCUGCCACAUCCCAGAACUCUAUGGCAGCUGUGGAGAAUCAAGUGAGGCCACGUUCAGCUAUCAAGGGACCGCUGACUAUUGGAGAAUCACAACUAUCUAAAGAGGAGGAAUUGAAGAGAGCACAGGCAGCUGAAAGGGAAAAGAGAGCUGCUGCUGCAGAGAGGAGAAUGGCUGCAGCUCAAAAUGCCCAAGGCAGUGGCACAGCCACUGUUGCUAACAUGGAACAACCCAAAAGUGGACUAGCAACUGAUAUAAACUGCUCCUGUUGUAACGCAUCAUUGGCUGGUAAAGUUCCAUUUCAUAGGUAUAAUUACAAAUACUGCAGCACAACAUGCAUGCAUGUUCACAGAGAGAUCCUUGAGAAUGGAUAAUGCAAAUUUGUUAAAGCUUGUAUUUUGUGCAUUUUUUUUUUAAUUUUCGGGUGCUUGCAUAUGUUUAUCAUUUCAAGGGUUUCAAUGUAUAUGACUAAUUUACUAUAUCCCUUCUCUUGCCUUUCCUUCUUGACUUAUUUUAUCAUAUCCAUUUACUUCUCCA